UCACUCAUAAUUACUAAGUCAGGUUGAUUAAAGGUUGUAUAUUCUUAUUUACUUCAUACAUGUGCAGGAACUCAGCCGAAGAAACCUUACCAAAGAUGGGCAGUAUAGAUAGAAGUAAUCAAGGAACACUAGAAGAACAGAUGUUUUAUAGGAGGAGAACAUUAGAAGAACUUACUGCAAUGAGGCACGGAAACCAGCCAGACCAGGUAACGCAUCAAAAUUCCAAUAAAUGAUAUCAUCAAUCUUCGUGAUACGCGAUAAGACCUGCAUGGACAAUUCAUUUAAUAUUAGUUACAAUGAAACCAUAUUGUGCUUAUAUAUGCCUCUUAAUCCCACACCCCACCCAAAUGCUAAUGUUGUUUUUUUAGGAUUUUGUGUUCACUGUCAUAGCUACAGUGGAUCGUUUGCAAGAAAAUAUUCAAUGGUGGUACAUGUCAUGUGAUAAGUGCCACAAAUUAGUGACCAUUAUUAUUGCAAGAGUUGUGGUAUAUAUCCAGAAAAGGUCACACCAUAGUAAGCAUAUUAUAUUACUAAAAUAUGAAAAAAUGUUAUAUUAUAUUUACUCUCCACUACCAGGAAUCAUGUGUUAGGUACCGUGUUCGACUCCAAAUUAGUGACCAUACAUCUACUACAAGUUGCACUUUAUUUGAUGAGGAGGCUGCAAGAUUGCUUAAUACAUCUGCAUCUAAUCUGCUGGACACACAGGAUGGGAAAUCGGAAGAAGCGCCAAACAUUAUUCAACAAUUACGUGGAAAAAGACUCAUAUUUAGAUUCAAGCUCAAUGAUAAUAAUCUCACAUUUGGCACACAAAACUAUGCCGUUAAAAGAACAUUUGUGCCUGAUGAUAGGCUUGAGAUGCUCUAUUUGGACAAUAAAGCUGAGGAGGUAAAGCUGCAUUAACUUUUUACCAUUUUCAGAAUUCCUUAAUGGAUGAUGAGGUGGACACUGUGUUAAUGAAGAAGCAAAACAUGCCAGAUAGAAAGGUGAUUGCUUUUUUAACAAUGUACACACUUCAGAUUUUAGAGAUGUGUCUAAUUUUCAAAAUGUUUAUCUUUGCAGUCACAGAAUAAUAAAGUUUCAUCUGGCAAACUUUCAUGUGAACUGGUGCCUGUGAAAGAGGAGUCACAUGACAGCAAUGGGACUACAUUAAAUAAAGAUAAGCGUCAAGACAAAAUACCAUCGUCAUCACGUGAGCUCCGCAGUGGCACUAAAAGGAGACUGAGAUCUUUGUAAUAUCAGAUGAGUCAGAGGAUGAAUGCACUAAGACGAAUAUGCCUAAAAAAAGGGAAAAUGUGUUUGCGGGAACAAGAAACAUGUUAAAGCAAAAGCAAAAAAUACAGUGCUUGAAGAUGAAGAUGAAGUACCGAAAUCAAAGGCCAGGAGAAAAAGGAUGUUAUCCAGAUAAUUAGUGGAUCAGUAGCUUAUGAAAUAAAUAGUGCGACAGUCUAUUUGUAUCGACCAAGAUAAGUAAUAGUAUUUGACUGACAUCAACCAUGAUAAGAAGGAUACUUAUUAGAUUCAGGGUGUGGACGUUACCAAUGUUCUUAGUUUAAAAUAGAUUGAUAACUUUCUUUAUGUAGUUUCCUUUAUGCACAUGCUAUUUUAGGAAAAUCUUUACGAGGCCAACGCAAUAGACAAGAACAUACUACAAGACCAGACUUUCGCACAUUAGGAUUUACUUCACAAUUUGAAGAAACUAUACUUUAGCAAACCUAUAUAACACCAGCACAAUAGAAAGGAACAUACCUUGCUUCAUCAGUAACUUAAUAGCACGACUGGAUAUAAGCAAAUCAAUGGCGUCUUGCUUCCACAAGUG
rnacentral:lncRNA from 1 species